rnacentral:rRNA from 1 species
GACGAACGCUGGCGGCGUGCUUAACACAUGCAAGUCGAACGGAAAGGCCCUGCUUUUGUGGGGUGCUCGAGUGGCGAACGGGUGAGUAACACGUGAGUAACCUGCCCUUGACUUUGGGAUAACUUCAGGAAACUGGGGCUAAUACCGGAUAGGAGCUCCUGCUGCAUGGUGGGGGUUGGAAAGUUUCGGCGGUUGGGGAUGGACUCGCGGCUUAUCAGCUUGUUGGUGGGGUAGUGGCUUACCAAGGCUUUGACGGGUAGCCGGCCUGAGAGGGUGACCGGCCAAAUUGGGACUGAGAUAAGGCCCAGACUCCUAAGGGAGGCAGCAGUGGGGAAUAUUGCACAAUGGGCGGAAGCCUGAUGCAGCAACGCCGCGUGCGGGAUGACGGCCUUCGGGUUGUAAACCGCUUUCGCCUGUGACGAAGCGUGAGUGACGGUAAUGGGUAAAGAAGCACCGGCUAACUACGUG